UGUGAUCUGGAGAUUAGGUCUCAACAGUGAGGCCGAUCAGAGAUGUACUGAUGAUUUCUAGUUAAUUACAAACUUAUACAGAAGCAUGUCCAUCACUGUCAACCUGAAGAGGAUCACCAAUCUACCAGGGAAGUAUGAUCGAAAAGUGGAGUUAUGCUUUAGAGAUUUUACCCACAAAACCAGAAUUCUUCAGUGUGAAAAUAUUGCGAUUUUCAAUGAGCAUUUCAGGUGGCCACACUAUGGGAAGGUUACCAACAGUGAGGUCCUGUCUGUCAGUGUGUACAACUGCAGCAAGGUUUUCAGCAGCAGGCUCCUAGGUAAAUUAGUCAUCAGUCUUCAGCAUGUGGUGACAUCUGGAAGACUGCAACUCCGAGAGCCACUAACAGACAGAAACUACAGCCAGACUACAAUAUACAUUGAGUUGGACGUACGAUACCACCCUGUGCAAGGCGCUGCAGGUAGAUGGGAGGGUGAAGAAUUCCUCAAUGUGGAAGAUGAUGAUAACUCAGGUCUUGUUAUCAGAAACACUGGUUUUGCUGAUCCGAAGUCAAAGCAGAGUCUGCGACCUGAGAAACUUGACAAAGACACAAGGAAAUUGGGACGGAGUCUAAUCAAAACAGAGACAGACAAUGAUGAUGACGAUGAUGAUGUUGAUGAUGAUGAUUAUGAUAUUUCAGACAUGGAGUAUACCAACACAACGUUCACUCCCAUCUUAAGUCGUUGCAGACCUCUUUCAAAACAUAUGCUUGCCGCAACAGCUCGAGUACAGAGUUUCCAGGUUAAUGUGAAUGUUUUGGAGGCCCAAAAACUGGUUGGCGUAAACAUUAACCCAGCUGUGUACAUCAGAAUGGGAGAAGAAAAAAGGAAAACCACCACACAAAAAUCCACCAACUGUCCAUUUUAUAACGAGAACUUCAUGUUUGAGUUCCAGGAAACACGAGAUGUGCUGUUUGAUAAAGUUAUUCAGAUAACGGUUGUUCACAAAAAGAUGCUGGGAUUUAUGAUGACAUUUAUCGGCAGCUUCAAAAUUGACAUCAGCACCAUCUACAGUCAACCAGAUCACAGAUUCUACCAGAAAUGGGCACCUCUUACUGACCCCAGUGACACCAGAACAGGGAUAAAAGGUUUUGUGAAGUGUUCCUUGAGUGUGGUAAUGAAAGGAGACGCAAUGGGAAUUCCCAGUUUGCCUUCUUUGGGCAGUCAGAACGAUGACAUUGAGAAAAAUCUGCUCUUACCCAAGAGGAUGCCAGCUGAGAGGCCCUGGGCCAAAUUCCUGUUGAAGAUCUACAAGGCAGAAGGCUUGCCCAGUAUGAGUGCUGGCUUCAUGGGUGGUUUCUCUAAGAUGAUGGGGGACAGGAAGGUCUUCAUUGACCCUUAUGUGCAGGUCACAUUUGCAGGCCAACAGGGCGAGACUUCAGUCCAGUCAAACACCGACAGUCCUGAGUGGAAUGAGCAGAUCUCUUUCAUCGAGCAGUUUCCUCCCCUUGCCCGGCGAAUCAAAGUGCAGAUCCUGGACGAUGCCAACAUAGGUGAUGUCGCAGUGGCGACACACUUUCUUGACCUGCAACAAAUCUCCAAUCCCAACAGAAAUGGGUUCAACCCCACAUUUGGCCCGUCCUGGAUCAACCUGUAUGGUUCCCCUCAGAACUCUGCCCUUGGAGACAUCCACCAAGCUUUAAACGACGGCAUAAGUGAAGGCAUCUUCUACCGGGGCCGUUUGUUGUUGUCUCUCAGCGUGGAGGUAUACUCAUCCCCAAACGCCGCUCCUGUGGAGAGCAGCAAAGCAUCGGCCAGUGUCAGGAGUGCCCUUGGCAAGUUCUCCUUAAAGAAGAUGAGCAGGAAAUCUAAAAAGAAGGAAGAAGUAACACUGAGCCUUAGUGGGCUUACAGAAGAGUCAGAGGAUGCAGGUACAGAGGUACCAGAGUCUGUGACUGUGGAGGUUGAGGAGAUUCAUCCCCUACCUGAGAAUUUCUUUGGGGUAAAGGAGGAAUUUUUACUGUUUGCAUCCCUGUUUGAGGUGACCAUGAUCGAUCCCAUUAUUGGAAGCAAGCCAGUCAGCUUUGAGUUGUCCAUUGGGAACAAUGGGAAGGCAGCAGAGGUGAUGGUCAAUCCAAAAAAGACUCAGAGCAAAGAAGAUUUAAGCAGUGAGAGUCAGUCUCUGUUGGAGUCAUCAGAUGAUGAACUGGAUAAGGAGGAGAUUCCACGCCAUGGGCUUAAGGACAGCUCUGUCACUGAUCCAAGAAGACCACAGUCUGUCGAGUAUGACAGAUCAUUUAGCUGUAUCCCCAUGCCAUAUCAGAAGCCAUGCAUGUUUUUGUGGUCUCACUUUGAAGAUCACUGCUUCCGUUACCAGAAUGCUAACUGGCUGCAUAAGAUGGCUGACAGACUGGAAUCUGGCAUUGAUGAUGUGGAGAGACUUUUAAAGAGACCUAGAACCAAUGCCAAGGACCGUUUGGUGGAGGUGCUUUUGGAGUUUGUAGCGAGUUGCAAGCAGUAUAUCUCGAACUCUGAUAGGAAGACGCCAGCGAAGCGCAAUAAUCUGGACAAAUGUCGGAAAGAGUUUAUCAAGAAGAACAUUAUACUCCUAGCCAAGCUGUCUUUGCGAGUGAAGAGGAAGGUAACCAGACGUACAAUGAAAGAGAGACUGACUGAGGCCAAGAGGAUUCUAAAAAGGCUUGAACUCUUGCUAAAAGAACCUCAGAGCACCUUGCCAGAUGUGUUUGUGUGGAUGAUGAGUGCAGGGAAACGUGUGGCCUUUGCCAGGAUCCCUUCCCACUCCAUUCUCUUCUCUCUGGUGGAGGAAGAAAAAGGGAAAGACUGUGGGAAACUCACCACCAUUUAUCUAAAGACUCCAGUGGGACCAGUGGGGGAGAUCUUUGCUAAGCUCGAGGUGUAUUUAUGGCUUGGCAUCACCAAAUAUUCCAAGAACUGUGUUAGCAGCCUGCCAGCUGACUUCACGCCUGUGUAUGAAGAGGCUAUGGGCAUCGUCCCUGUUUCCAUUCCCAUGGCCCCCAUCAAAAUGUCCUGCGAGGACAGUCGCUACUUCCAGAUGCGUGCACAUAUUUACCAGGCACGUGGCCUAAAAGCAGCAGAUGACAAUGGGCUGUCUGAUCCCUUUGCCAAGGUGGUGUUCUCCACACAGUGCAUGCGCACCCAGGUGAUUGAGGAGACUCUUUGCCCAACCUGGAAUCAGCUGCUCCUGUUUGAGCAAAUCCUUAUUGAGGGCAGUAAAGAAGAGUUAAGAGAUGACCCCCCAAUAAUCACAAUCAACCUCUAUGAUUACGACAAAAUGGGGAGUCCUGAGCCCCUGGGCCGAGCGUUUGCUCAUCCGGAGCUCAAGUUUGUUGAGGAGCCAUAUACGAAACCUAUGUUGGAGUUCUUUGACAUCAGCCGAGGAAAAUCUUCAGCAGGGGAGCUCCUGGCGGCUUUUGAGCUGAUAGAGCUGGACUACUCAAAAUUUGGAGCGCCAUCACUACCUGUGGAUGUUGACCCAAGACAGCCGGAGUAUUUGGAGAAUGAGAAGUAUUUCAUCAUUCCAGAUGGGGUUAGGCCAGUGCUGAAGAAAUUUCGUAUAGAAGUGCUGUACUGGGGAAUCAGAGACCUGAAGAGGGUCAACCUGUUUGAAGUGGAGAAGCCUCAAGUGAGAAUCGAGUGUGCGGGACACAGAAUUGAAUCUGAAGAAAUCGAGAACUACCAAGUCCUUCCCAACUUCAAAGAGGUUGUCAAAAGCUUUGAUGUGGAGCUUCCGGAGCUGACAUACCUUCACCCUCCUCUUAUCGUGUUUGUUAUGGAGCAGCGGGCAUUUGGCAGGCUAGUGCUGGUGGGCACACAUAUGGUCCAGAAUCUAAUGCACUUUGCACCGAAAAACCUAGAGGAAUGGAAAGACGAUGAUGAUGAACCUGAACCCCAAGAGAAGAAACCCCCUGUGAGGACCACUCCCCUCGACACAGUGAAAAAGAUGGACCUGAGAGGCCUUUCGAUCAACACCUCUAAGAUUCCCAUCAACCCCCUUAACUUAACUUCUCCACUGAACAAACUAAAGAAGAAGGUGGAUGAGCUUGAAGAGGAGAUUCCAGAGAAAGAGCAACUGGAUUGGUGGUCCAAGUACUACGCAUCAUUGGAAGAGAUUGGAAACCAGACUGAGAAUGAGGACGAAAUGGAUGAACAACAGGAAACAGAUGGUGGCACAUUAGAAGCAGAGGAUGAGAAUGCAGUGAUAGUAGAAAUAGAGCCACCGCCGAUACCGAAAAGAAAAAAAAUAGCAACUAUCCAGCUGUAUAAAUCAGAACUGGAGGAGGAGUUUAGCGAAUUCAUGGAUUGGCUACACACAUUCCCCAUCUACAAAGGCAAAUCCAAUGAGGAAGAUGAUGAGGAUGAAGAAGAAAGAUGCAUGGGGAAAUACAAAGGGUCUUUUUUGAUUUAUCCCAUUUUACCUGAGGACGAAAAUGCAGAAUGCCGGAUUACCAAUGGAAUUCCGAGAAACACGGCCAUCAAAGUGCUAGUGCGUGUGUAUGUUGCAAAGGCCACCAACCUGGCACCAACUGAUCCCAAUGGAAAGGCAGAUCCCUAUGUGAUGGUGAAAGUUGGCAAACAAAGCAUGGACAGUAAAGAACGCUAUAUUCCCAAACAGCUAAACCCAGUAUUUGGAGAAGUGUUUGAGCUGACCGUGUCCUUUCCCCUGGAGACGGAACUGACCUUGAUGGUAUUUGAUCACGACAUGGUGGGCUCUGAUGACCUCAUUGGAGAAACACGAAUCGACCUGGAGAACCGUUUCUACAGCCACCACUACGCGCGCUGUGGCAUAGCCCUUUACUAUGACAAAGAUGGAUACAACAAUUGGAGGGAUGCCAAGAAACCAUCCACCAUUCUGGCAGAGCUCUGCCGGAAAAAUGCAAUUCCCUCUCCGGAAUACCGUGAAUUGGAAGUCAAAGUUCUUAACAAGAUCUUCAAAAUACCCAAUGAAGCGUUUCCUGAAGAGUUGCUGAAGAAGAACAAGAAGACGGAAGAAGAUCUGCAGGAGAUGGAGGAGCACAAGGCCCUUAGUGUAUUGCACCGCUGGGGGGAGAUGAGGGAGUUCUGUGAGGGAGCCUGUCCCCUUGUACCAGAGCAUGUGGAGGUGCGUUCUCUCCUCAACUCUGAAAAACCAGGACUGCCUCAGGGCUAUGUUCACAUGUGGAUUGAUAUGUUUCCUACGGAUGUACCAGCACCUCCACCUAUAAAUAUCAAACCCCGGCUGCCUAUAAGCUAUGAGUUGCGUGUGAUCAUCUGGAAUACUGACGACGUUGUCCUGGAUGAUGUCAACCCUUUCACUGGAAAUCCAUCCAGUGAUAUAUACAUGAAAGGCUGGAUUAAAGGCUUAGAGGGGAACAAACAAGAGACUGAUGUCCAUUUCAACUCCAUGACUGGAGAAGGGAACUUCAAUUGGCGUUUUGUUUUCCGGUUUGACUACCUCCCCACUGAGAAAGAGAUCAUCUAUAAGAAAAAGGAGUCUAUAUUCUCUCUGGAGGAAUCCGAGUUUCGCCAGCCUGCUGUUCUUGUGCUUCAGGUCUGGGACUAUGACCUCAUCUCCGCCAAUGACUUCCUGGGCUCCAUUGAACUGCGUCUGAAUGACAUGGUCCGAGCGGCCAAAACUUCAGGGCAGUGCAGCAUACAGAUGGCCAAGGACAGGGCCAGCCCUCGCUUCUCUAUCUUCCGUAGCAAGAGGAUGAAAGGAUGGUGGCCUCUCAUCAAGCUCAAGAGUCAGGAAGACAUUGAGAGGGAGGAAAAAGAGGCAGAGGACGCAAAGAACAAGAAAAAGAAGAAAAGGAAGGGCAGGCACAGCAAGAUGAAGACAGAGGACAUUCAAUUUAUUGACAACAAUGGGAGCACUUAUCUCCUAAUGGGCAAAGUGGAAGCAGAGUUCCAUUUGGUGACCCUUGAGGAGGCAGAGCUAGCUCCUGUGGGAAAAGCUCGUAAGGAACCUGAGCCACUUGAGAAACCAAAUCGCCCCAAGACAUCCUUCAACUGGUUUAUCAACCCCCUGAAGACCUUCAUCUUCUUCAUCUGGAAAAAGUACAAGAAGUACAUUAUUGCUCUACUCAUCCUGGCAGUCCUAGUGCUCUUCCUUGUCCUCAUCCUCUACACCCUCCCUGGACAGAUUAGUGCGCUUAUUGUAAAUGGAUGAUAGCAUCAGUCACAGAGACGUAAUAUAAAAAAAUCUGAUUUUCAUGUAUCUAAUUUAAUGUAACAGUUAUUCAGUUACUAUUUUAAAGUUUUUGUACCUCAAGUUAUGUACCUCAAGUUGUUUUAGUUAUUGUUAUGUGAUAUAUCAAAAUUAAAUCUGAAUAUUAAUUAAACAGAUAUUAGACAAUCUAGUCCAAGCGCCCUAGUCUCUUUCAAAUUGUCAUAUUUCAUGAUUCUUGAGCUCUUGAAAACACAGAGAUACAUGCCAAGUUACUUCUCUUGCCAACCAGGUAAUAAUACACAACUCAAGCAAUAAAAAGGUGCAGGUAGAAAUAUAUAAUGUCAAUCUAUACUGAACAAAAUUAUAAACGUAA